rnacentral:rRNA from 1 species
GGGGGGGGGGGGGGGGGGGGGGGGGGGAGGCGGGGGGGGGGGGGGGGGCGGGCGUGGGGGGGGUGGGCGAGGGGCGGACGGGGGAGGAGCGCGUGGGUAACCUGCCCUGGCCUUGGGGGUAACUUCAGGAAACUGGGGCUAAUACCGGAUAGGAGCUCCUGCUGCAUGGUGGGGGUUGGCAAGUUUCGGCGGUUGGGGAUGGACUCGCGGCUUAUCAGCUUGUUGGUGGGGUAGUGGCUCACCCAGGCGUUGCCGGGUAGCCGGCCUGAGAGGGGGACCGGCCGCAUUGGGACUGAGAUACGGCCCAGACUCCUACGGGAGGCAGCAGGGGGGAAUAUUGCACAAUGGGCGGAAGCCUGAUGCAGCAACGCCGCGUGCGGGAUGACGGCCUUCGGGUUGUAAACCGCUUUCGCCUGUGACGAAGCGUGAGUGACGGUAAUGGGUAAAGAAGCACCGGCUAACUACGUG